rnacentral:rRNA from 1 species
AGAGUUUGAUCAUGGCUCAGAACGUACGCUGGCGGCACGCCUAACACAUGCAAGUCGAACGAAGUAGCAAUACUUAGUGGCAGACGGGUGAGUAACAUGUAGGUAUCUGCCCUUUGGCCUGGAAUAACACGAGGAAACUUGUGCUAAUACCGGAUAAGUCUUUACGGAGAAAGCUUUAUGCACCAUUGGAUGAGCCUGCACUUGAUUAGUUUGUUGGUGGGGUAAUGGCCUACCAAGACUGUGAUCAAUAGCUGAUUUGAGAGGAUGAUCAGCCACAUUGGGACUGAGACACGGCCCAAACUCCUACGGGAGGCAGCAGUGGGGAAUCUUGCACAAUGGAGGAAACUCUGAUGCAGCGAUGCCGCGUGAGUGAAGAAGGCCUUUGGGUUGUAAAGCUUUUUCGUCGGGGAAGAAAAUGACUGUACCCGAAUAAGAAGGUCCGGCUAACUUCGUGCCAGCAGCCGCGGUAAUACGAAGGGACCUAGCGUAGUUCGGAAUUACUGGGCUUAAAGAGUUCGUAGGUGGUUGAAAAAGUUGGUGGUGAAAUCCCAGAGCUUAACUCUGGAACUGCCAUCAAAACUUUUCAGCUAGAGUAUGAUAGAGGAAAGCAGAAUUUCUAGUGUAGAGGUGAAAUUCGUAGAUAUUAGAAAGAAUACCAAUUGCGAAGGCAGCUUUCUGGAUCAUUACUGACACUGAGGAACGAAAGCAUGGGUAGCGAAGAGGAUUAGAUACCCUCGUAGUCCAUGCCGUAAACGAUGUGUGUUAGACGUUGGAAAUUUAUUUUCAGUGUCGCAGCGGGAGGCGAUAAACACACCGCCUGGGGAGUACGACCGCAAGGGUUAAAACUCAAAUGAAUUGACGGGGACCCGCACAAGUAGUGGAGC